ACUGGAGAAAGCUCCUCCCUCAGAUCCCCGAUCUGGGAGAAGAGGCUGGGAGUGGCCUGCACCGUGAGAUUGGAAUUUCAGAGAGACAGCGCGGGGAGAGCUUCGGUGUGUGGUUGGCUGGCACUUUAUUUUGCCGAAUUUUUAGGUUGACACCAACAAGGGCAAAUGGCAGACUGGAAACCUGAGUGGGCAUUGCUCUGGAGACAUUCUGCUCAUACGACAUGAUGGACCUCCAUCCUCAGAGGACUGGCUUUUUAUCUCCAUGGCCUUUUCCUCAUGAUAGCAAGAUGGCUACCACAGCUCAGUCAUCAUGUUCUCACACAAACAUCCCCCAAACAAGAAAGAAGGGACAAGGAAAGCCAAAAACUUUCUCCUAAUGAUGCUUUUUGUCCUGGGAAGGAAGACUUCCCUAUACGUGUCAUUGGUCCGAAAUGGAUCUCAUGUCCAUCCUAAACCAAUUUCUGGCAAAAGGGAAUGGGUUUACCGGCUCCUGGGAUUGAGGAAAGGGCCUCUCCUCCUCAUACCAUGGAAUCUCUGCCCUAGUAUAGAAAUGCAGUUCUGUUCCUAGGAAAGGUACAGAAGUCUGUUGGGGAGGUUGCAGAAAGACAUCACAGCUGUUGAUGUGAGCCACUCCAUCUUUUGAAAAAAAAAAAUCUUAAUUACCCUAGGACAACAUAACCCCACAUCUCCCACUGCCACUACUCUAAGCCAGUUAUGUCCAUCUCUCUUAUGGACUGCUGCCUUAGCCUCCUUCCUGGCCUCCCUGUACCCAUGCUGUCAUUGGCCUUGGCGCUGGCUCUGUCCCCCAUGUGAUAUAGGAAGGGCAUUCUCAAAAAUAAAGUAUGGGAGGCCAGCUGGAUUCAGACCUAAUUGUCUCAACUAUUGUAUCUGGUUCUUUCUUUUGAAGACAACAAUCAAGAGGCUGUCUUCGUUGAUUUUUCUUUCAGCCUCCCUUCUAGACAGAGCUCUUCUCAAUAUAAAGUGUGCUCUGUUAGCGUGGCUUGGAGCCCAUGUGAACUCAGCACUUGCAAAAUAAGCAUGGGCUGCGUUAGAGGCUCAGUUGUGUCCUCCGAAAUUCGUAUGUGGAAGUCCUGCAUCCCAAUACCUCAGAACAUGACUGUGCUUGGAGAUCGUCUUUAAAGGGAUAAUUAAAUUAAAGUGAGGUCAUUAGGGUGAGCCCUUAUCCAA